UACUUCAUCCAACUCUGAAAUGGGAUGGGAUCCGAAGCCCCUUUGAGGGAUAAUACAGGCUCUCCCAUCCAACUCCUUUUCCGACACGACCUCGUCGUGCAGAGUGGUAACGUGAGUCACCACAUAUUCAAGCUUGGGUACACGGGCUUGACCCAACCCCUUGGACGGAUGGUGGCAUUUGACGAACCAGGAGGGG
rfam:Anopheles melas strain CM1001059_A cont2.5453, whole genome shotgun sequence.